UACGUAGGGUGCGAGCGUUAAUCGGAAUUACUGGGCGUAAAGCGUGCGCAGGCGGUGCUGUAAGACCGAUGUGAAAUCCCCGGGCUUAACCUGGGAACUGCAUUGGUGACUGCAGCGCUGGAGUAUGGCAGAGGGGGGUGGAAUUCCACGUGUAGCAGUGAAAUGCGUAGAGAUGUGGAGGAACACCGAUGGCGAAGGCAGCCCCCUGGGCCAAUACUGACGCUCAUGCACGAAAGCGUGGGGAGCAAACAGG
rnacentral:rRNA from 2 species